rnacentral:lncRNA from 1 species
AUUUUUUUUUUUGCAGGUUCUUCUUUGAUUUCAGCAUGACAUUUGUAGGAGCUGGAAUGAUAUGUUCACAUCUGGUUAACCUCUCUUUGCUUUAUAUGUUCACAUCUAGUUAACCUCUCUUUGCUUUUAGGAGCUGUCCUCUCUUAUGGCUUAAUGUGGCCUCUUCUUGAUAAACUCAAAGGCUCUUGGUUCCCUAAUAAUAUCGAUGAAAAGAACAUGAAGAGCUUAUACGGUUACCAAGUAUUCUUAUCC